AUGUUAUGCUCGCGAGCUGCAGAUGAGGCAGAGGAGUCCAGGGCGGAGGCAGAGAAGAGCAGGGCUGUGGCUGAGGCUCGGGCCCUGGGCUUUCAGCGGGACAAGGAUGCAGCUGAGGCUGACAGGGGACGACUGAGUGAAGAGCUGCAGAAGCUUAAAAAGGAGCACGCGAACGUGCAGCUUUUACUGGCACAAACAGAGAAGAACUACUUUGAAAGUAAGCUGAAGUUGGAUCGUGUGUCUGGAGAGAAACAGGCCCUCCUGCAGGAGAGCAGGAGCCUGGAGGCAGACAGAGAUGACCUCCGACACAAGCUGAGGAAGAUCACCCAAGAAAAUGUCCAAAUUAAAGAGAGUGAGAUGAACUGGAAACGCAGAGCGACUGAAUCAGAAGAGGAGAGCAAAAGAGCUAACCAGGCUCGGCGGGAAGUCGAGGCAGAGAGGCAUCUGGCUGAGAAGGAGAGGCAGGAGAGAGUGGCCGAGUGCCUGAGCUGGAGGGAGAAGUACCAGGAGCUGGCUGACAUGUUUCAAGCUCAGGAAGACCUGAAGGCUCUGAGGCAGAAUAAAGCAUGUCAAGCCCACAUCAAAAGCUACUUCCUGUGCAUGACUGAAAGCGACCAGAGGGUUAAAAUCCUCAAAAAUCCAGAUGGCACUCCGAGAAAUUUCACAGAAGGAGAUCCUGUAUACAUCUCCACUCCAGAGUCCAGCGUUGAAGAGCCUGAAAGGAGUUCAUCUAGGUAAACAAAAACUGUGGCCACCAGGGGGAAGCCACACAAACUACAAUCGUUCAGACAUGGUAGCAACAUAAGAUUAAAAUUCUAAUUUACAAAGAAAAAGGUAAGUGUAAAGCUUUUCUCUGGCUGAAGACCACUAUUGAGAAUUAAUUGUGAACUGUAUUUACUCAGGACCAUGCUCAGGGUGACAGCUCCACACAUGGGGAGAGAUCUGGGUCCGAGUCACUUUGAUGAGCUGCCUGCCUAUGGAGGAGAGCGACCCGACUCAGGCCCUCUGCGCAGAAGCAGGAAGGUGGUGGAAUACUUUUGGAUUCCCACAGAUCAGGACUGACCACGAAUAUAACCAAAUGCUCCUGGGCACUUCACUGCAGUAGAGCUGCUGCUUGGAAGAUUCAAACUGUUGUUCAUGUGUGAAGUAUUUUACUGGACAGAUGGAAUAUGUAACCGUAAAGCAGAGUAAAUACAGGUAAACAGUAGGUGCUCAUGUACUGACUUUAUUGACAUUAAAGCAAUAGAGGUGCACAAUAAUUCUGAAUACCUUACAAUAAGACCCUAAUUGUAUGUCUUAUACAUAAUCAUGGCUUGAGAGUACAAUUCUUGGUUAAGCCUGAUGGUCAUUUGUUUAGCUUUGGGAGAAGGGAAAUCAAUUACAAUUUAUAGUUUGCCAAUUUAAAGAGCCACACAAAUGUAACAUUUUUUAUUAUUUUAAGACCUCAAUAUAAAAACCAACCUCAUCAGGGCCGCUUCAAAAUCUAGUCAACAUUACUCUUUUGAUAACUACACAUU
rnacentral:lncRNA from 1 species